AGGGAAUCUGACCUAUCACGGCCGAUUCCAGUGACCAGUUAUCACAGCUCAGUAGUUUUGUUACAAUUGUAAUAAACAGUCAAUUUGAUUGGCUGUUCUUUUAUUAUUCACCGCUGUUUGAUUGGCUGCUCUCCAUGAUAACACACAGCAGAAUUUUUGAUUGGAUGUAUCAAUGUAAUAUGCAGCCAAAAGGUUGUUUAACUGCUUUAUGACUUACAGUGCUUUAAGUAUUUGCCCGAAAUGUCACAGCUGAUGCCAAAAAGAGGCCUUACUGUGAAAGAAUGAGGUAUGCUGUGUGAUGUAGUAUUAGUCUCCUGUCAGGGAGGUAUUUUAUGAAUGGUUGUUAAUGAUCAGAAAUGCAUGCUUGAUUGUAUACCAUUUUUGUUAGCAUUUGUUAUAAUAAACAUCAAGUAGAAA
rnacentral:misc_RNA from 1 species